AAUCGAGCUCGCCGUCGAGUGGGAAACGCAUGAGCCGAAAUGCGGGGUCCACAAAAUGGCGACUCCGCUGGGGAUUGUUUAGAGGGUCAAGCUUGAACUUAGGAUGAAGCAAACGUGGCGUUUCGUGAUUCGAUCAGUGGGUACUCAUCUCUUGAUUGCACAUUGAGAGUUCCCGAGUUUUCACUUUGGGACAUUGACAUGUUGAUCAUAUUGGUUGAUAAUUUUGAUUGGGGAUUCUGAUAUAGCAAGUUUCUUCAUGCUUCAUUGAUAUAUUUGUUUGAGAUAUUUGACCUGCUGAUUAUGAUGAUUGAUUCGUAUUGAUAGAGGAUUUUGAGAUAACUAUUUUCUCUGUGCUUCAUUGCCAUAUUCAUUUAAGAUAUCGACAUGUUGACUGUAUUGAUUGUCUAUCUUAUUUUGCUUAGCAUAGUUAUUUUGAUAUUUGCCAUGAUUGUUUGGAUCGUCUAGCACGUAUGGAUUCAUUGUUAUACAUUGUUUGAUUUGACAUGUCCAUUCUUUGGAUUAUAUAUUCUCUUGAUCAUCUUUGAGCAUGAUGUCUGUAUCACUAUUCAUUUUGACUAUCAUAGUUUGUGUGUGAACAUGAGUGAUAUAUCAUGUACUCUACCUAACUGCAUGUCGCAUGAUUGCCCUUCUUCUGCUUGAUUGCAUGUCGCUUGUCCAUGUGGGUCGCACUUCUAUCCCCCUACCUCCAAAUCUCUUAGUUUCGGUCAUUCCUUUCAUCUCGGUUCUCACUAUUGCAAGUGUGAGACCUUCUGUGUGCUUGCUCUCUGACCGAGCCAGAGAUUAGGAGUAGGGUCUAGCGACGGGCUAUAUCGAUGUACGGGAGCAUUCUGGAGGAGACCGACAUAUCGAUGCUGAUUGGAGUCCGAUCAUUGAAGACCUGUAUAGCCCGGAGCUAGGUUUCAUGGAUAUUUGUGUGACCAGUGUGUUUCAUCUCCUACUUUAGCUUCUUAGGGUUUCGGAUGCACCCACACCGCUCACUGUGCACUUUAGUUGACUAUUGAGUGUUGAGAGUGUGAGAGCUUUCGCUAUAGGAGCC
rnacentral:lncRNA from 1 species